rnacentral:rRNA from 1 species
UACGUAGGUGGCAAGCGUUGUCCGGAAUUAUUGGGCGUAAAGCGCGCGCAGGUGGUUCCGAAAGUCUGAUGUGAAAGCCCCCGGCUCAACCGGGGAGGGUCAUUGGAAACUGGGGAACUUGAGUGCAGGAGAGGAAAGUGGAAUUCCACGUGUAGCGGUGAAAUGCGUAGAUAUGUGGAGGAACACCAGUGGCGAAGGCGACUUUCUGGCCUGUAACUGACACUGAGGCGCGAAAGCGUGGGGAGCAAACAGG